rnacentral:lncRNA from 10 species
CAAAAAAAGUAAAAAAGACAUACCUAACUAAAAUGCCAAUUUUACUUUUUACUGUACUUUUUCUAGGAGAUAUCUGAGAGAGUUUAAGAAAAUAUAAACAAGAGAUAGUCAUGCUAACUUUUAGAAGAGAUGACAUCUGUUGAAUUCUUAUUUGUUGAUGAAAUUGCUUUGGAAACAUCUGCUUCUCUCUGUUACUCCCUGGAAGUGACAGUAUGACACAAAGAACACUGUACCUGAUUCCUCGUAAAUUCUAGAUGAAUAUACAUUAAGAAACAGUACAAAUAAAGACAUAUCCCUCCCUAUUUAACCCUACCUAUCUUUCACUCAUUCUAAGUCAUGGCAAAGUGGAUGUAGAAUAGGUAUUGGAAGAAGGUAGUUAUAACUGCCAUUUAUAAAUACCAGCUAUGACUGUGUCACUAGUUUCAGAAGUAUGGACUAAAAUAAUUAUGAAAAUGUGUGCCAGAUGUGGUGGCUCACACCUGUAAUCUCAGCUAUUCAAGAGGCCAAAGUGGCAGAAUCCCUUGAGACCAGGGAUUUGAGGCUGCAGUGAGCUACAAUCAUGCCCUUACACUCCUGCCUGAACGACAGAAUGAGACCCUGUCUCAAAAAAAAAAAAAAAAAGAAAAGAUAGAAAGAAAAAAGAAAAUACCUUACACUCCUGCCUGAAUGACAGAAUGAGACCCUGUCUCAAAAAAGAAAGAAAGAAAGAAAAAAAAUAUAUUCAUUACUUUGAUUUAAAUAUGUUUGUAUAUAUGUUAAUCAAAUAUUUUUCUACUCUCACAUUUUCCUCAUACAUAACAUAGAAUUUGUUAAUGGUAUUUAACUUUACUCUUAGUAUUUCUGUUGCAG